UACGUAGGGCGCAAGCGUUGUCCGGAUUUAUUGGGCGUAAAGAGCUCGUAGGCGGUCUGUCGCGUCGGAUGUGAAAACCCGGAACUCAACUCCGGGCCUGCAUUCGAUACGGGCAGACUUGAGUACUGCAGGGGAGACUGGAAUUCCUGGUGUAGCGGUGGAAUGCGCAGAUAUCAGGAGGAACACCGGUGGCGAAGGCGGGUCUCUGGGCAGAAACUGACGCUGAAGCACGAAGGCCAGGGGAGCAAACGGG
rnacentral:rRNA from 1 species